UACGUUUUAAUUUUUAACUCUAUUUGUUGUGAUAUUAUAAUAUUUUUUUCUUUUUUAUAUUUUUUUUUGUAAAAUAUUUAGAUUUUAUGUUUUUUUUUUAUAAUAUUUAAAAUUUGAUUUUUGAACUGGAUUAGUACCCAGGUAAUCAAAAUUUAUUAAUUCGG
rnacentral:rRNA from 1 species